rnacentral:rRNA from 1 species
CACGUAGGGUGCGAGCGUUGUCCGGAAUUAUUGGGCGUAAAGAGCUCGUAGGCGGUGUGUCGCGUCGGCCGUGAAAACCUGCAGCUUAACUGUGGGCUUGCGGUCGAUACGGGCAUCACUGGAGUUCGGCAGGGGAGACUGGAAUUCCUGGUGUAGCGGUGAAAUGCGCAGAUAUCAGGAAGAACACCCCGUGGCGAAGGCGGUUCUCUGGGACGGUAC